AGAGGAGCCAAGCGUUGUCCGGAUUGACUGGGCGUAAAGCGCACGCAGGCGGAACGGCGCGUGGGGUGUGAAAGCUGGUGGCUUAACUGCCAGUCGCCAUCCCAUACGGCCGCUCUGGAGCCUUGCAGAGGGCAGUGGAAUUGCCGGUGUAGUGGUGAAAUGCGUAGAGAUCGGCAGGAACACCCAGGGGGAAACCAGCUGCCUGGGCAAGCGCUGACGCUGAGGUGCGAGAGCGUGGGGAGCGAACCGGAUUAGAUACCCGGGUAGUCCACGCCGUAAACGAUGGCCACUCGGCCUUUGGUGGCGGAAUCUCCGUCGCUGGGGGCCCUAGCUAACGCGAGAAGUGGCCCGCCUGGGAACUACGAGCGCAAGCUUA
rnacentral:rRNA from 1 species